GACGAACGUUGGCGGCGUGCUUAACACAUGCAAGUCGAACGGAAAGGCCCUGCUUUUGUGGGGUGCUCGAGUGGCGAACGGGUGAGUAACACGUGAGUAACCUGCCCUUGACUUUGGGAUAACUUCAGGAAACUGGGGCUAAUACCGGAUAGGAGCUCCUGCUGCAUGGUGGGGGUUGGAAAGUUUCGGCGGUUGGGGAUGGACUCGCGGCUUAUCAGCUUGUUGGUGGGGUAGUGGCUUACCAAGGCUUUGACGGGUAGCCGGCCUGAGAGGGUGACCGGCCACAUUGGGACUGAGAUACGGCCCAGACUCCUACGGGAGGCAGCAGUGGGGAAUAUUGCACAAUGGGCGGAAGCCUGAUGCAGCAACGCCGCGUGCGGGAUGACGGCCUUCGGGUUGUAAACCGCUUUCGCCUGUGACGAAGCGUGAGUGACGGUAAUGGGUAAAGAAGCACCGGCUAACUACGUGCCAGCAGCCGCGGUGAUACGUAGGGUGCGAGCGUUGUCCGGAUUUAUUGGGCGUAAAGGGCUCGUAGGUGGUUGAUCGCGUCGGAGGUGUAAUCUUGGGGCUUAACCCUGAGCGUGCUUUCGAUACGGGUUGACUUGAGGAAGGUAGGGGAGAAUGGAAUUCCUGGUGGAGCGGUGGAAUGCGCAGAUAUCAGGAGGAACACCAGUGGCGAAGGCGGUUCUCUGGGCCUUUCCUGACGCUGAGGAGCGAAAGCGUGGGGAGCGAACAGGCUUAGAUACCCUGGUAGUCCACGCUGUAAACGGUGGGUACUAGGUGUGGGGUCCAUUCCACGGGUUCCGUGCCGUAGCUAACGCUUUAAGUACCCCGCCUGGGGAGUACGGCCGCAAGGCUAAAACUCAAAGGAAUUGACGGGGCCCCGCACAAGCGGCGGAGCAUGCGGAUUAAUUCGAUGCAACGCGUAGAACCUUACCUGGGUUUGACAUGGAUCGGGAGUGCUCAGAGAUGGGUGUGCCUCUUUUGGGGUCGGUUCACAGGUGGUGCAUGCCUGUCGUCAGCUCGUGUCGUGAGAUGUUGGGUUAAGUCCCGCAACGAGCGCAACCCUUGUUCACUGUUGCCAGCACGUUAUGGUGGGGACUCAGUGGAGACCGCCGGGGUCAACUCGGAGGAAGGUGGGGAUGACGUCAAGUCCUCAUGCCCCUUAUGUCCAGGGCUUCACGCAUGCUACAAUGGCUGGUACAGAGAGUGGCGAGCCUGUGAGGGUGAGCGAAUCUCGGAAAGCCGGUCUCAGUUCGGAUUGGGGUCUGCAACUCGACCUCAUGAAGUCGGAGUCGCUAGUAAUCGCAGAUCAGCAACGCUGCGGUGAAUACGUUCCCGGG
rnacentral:rRNA from 1 species